GUUGUAGCUCAGUUGGUUAGAGCGUCGGAUUGUGGUUCCGAAGGUCGCGGGUUCGAGACCCGUCUC
rnacentral:tRNA from 1 species